rnacentral:rRNA from 1 species
UACGUAGGGUGCAAGCGUUGUCCGGAAUUAUUGGGCGUAAAGAGCUCGUAGGCGGUUUGUCGCGUCGGCUGUGAAAACUCGGGGCUCAACCCCGAGCCUGCAGUCGAUACGGGCAGACUAGAGUGCUGUAGGGGAGACUGGAAUUCCUGGUGUAGCGGUGAAAUGCGCAGAUAUCAGGAGGAGCACCGGUGGCGAAGGCGGGUCUCUGGGACGGUACUGACGCUGAGACGCGAAAGCGUGGGGAGCGAACAGG